rnacentral:misc_RNA from 1 species
AAUGCGGCCCGGCUUGAACGGAGCUCUUUUUUCUGAAGCGCAGCGGAAGAAAAAAAGCGGGAGUGGAAGACGGAAACAGCC